AACCAGUGAUGAACCUAUCCCGAACCUGAGCACUUGAUGAGAAAUCUCAAAUACGGAUCUGGCUUCUGAGGU